rnacentral:rRNA from 1 species
CUCAGUAACACGUGGAUAACCUGCCCUUAGGACUGGCAUAACCCCGGGAAACUGGGGAUAAUUCCGGAUAGUUCAUGGUAGCUGGAAUGCUCCAUGAUCGAAAGCUAUUGCGCCUAAGGAUGGGUCUGCGGUCUAUCAGGUAGUAGUGGGUGUAAUGUACCUACUAGCCGACGACGGAUACGGGUUGUGGGAGCAAGAGCCCGGAGAUGGAUUCUGUGACAUGAAUCCAGGCCCUACGGGGCGCAGCAGGCGCGAAAACUUUACAAUGCGGGAAACCGCGAUAAGGGGACACCGAGUGCCAGCAUCUUAUGUUGGCUGUCCGCAUGUAUAAAUCACAUGUGUUAGCAAGGGCCGGGCAAGACCGGUGCCAGCCGCCGCGGUAACACCGGCGGCCCGAGUGGUGGCCACUAUUAUUGGGUCUAAAGGGUCCGUAGCCGGUUUGGUCAGUCUUCCGGGAAAUCUGACGGCUUAACCGUUAGGCUUUCGGGGGAUACUACCA